rnacentral:rRNA from 1 species
UAAUACGGAGGAUCCAAGCGUUAUCCGGAGUCAUUGGGUUUAAAGGGUCCGUAGGUGGAUAAUUAAGUCAGGGGUGAAAGUCUGCAGCUCAACUGUAGAAUUGCCUUUGAUACUGGUUAUCUUGAGUCAUUAUGAAGUGGUUAGAAUGUGUAGUGUAGCGGUGAAAUGCAUAGAUAUUACACAGAACACCGAUUGCGAAGGCAGAUCACUAAUAAUGUACUGACACUGAUGGACGAAAGCGUGGGUAGCGAACAGGAUUAGAUACCCUGGUAGUCCACGCCGUAAACGAUGGUCACUAGCUGUUCGGACUUCGGUCUGAGUGGCUAAGCGAAAGUGAUAAGUGACCCACCUGGGGAGUACGUUCGCAAGAAUG